UAAGGAUUUGGUUGAGGUUUGAUUUAGAGUUAGGAUUUGAUUUAGGAUUAGGAUUUGGUUUAGGAUUUACGAUUUGAUUAGGAUUUGAUUUAGGAUUUAGGAUUUGAUUAGGGUUUGAUUUAGGAUUAGGAUUUCGUUAGGGUUUGAUUUAGAAUUAAGAUUUGGUUUAGGAUUUAGGGUUUGAUUAGGAUUUGAUUUGGGGUUAAGAUAUGGUUAGGAUUUGAUUUAAGAUUAGAGUUUGGUUAAGAUUUGGUUUAGGGUUUAAGACUAGGGUUAGGAUUGGAUUAGGAUUUGAUUUAGAAUUAGGAUUUAGGAUUUGAUUAGGAUUUGAUUUAGGAUUAGGGUUUGAUUUAGGAUUUAGGAUUAGGAUUAGGAUUUGAUUAAGAUUUGAUUUAGAAUUAAGGUUUAGGAUUUAGGAUUUGAUUAGGAUUUGAUUUAGGAUUUAGGAUUUUAUUUGAGUUUAUUUAGGAUAUAAGAUUUAGUUAAUUUUUGGUCUAAAGUUUGAAUGAAAUAAGAUUUCAACUAGGAUUAUAUUAAGAUUGAAUUGAGAAGUAUUUGAGAUAUGUUUAUAAUCAUUCUAAAAUUUCUUUAAGUUUUCUUAUUGUUUCUUUGGAAUUACUUUGAGAUUUCUCUGAAUUUGAUUAAAGCUUAUUUAGCAUUGUUAGUAUUUUAUUAGAGUUAGGAUUUUGUUGUGGCAAUUUCCAUUCUACCUUCCAUAGUUAGGUGCCCGGAGCAUUC
rnacentral:lncRNA from 1 species